rnacentral:rRNA from 1 species
UACGGAGGGUGCAAGCGUUAUCCGGAUUCACUGGGUUUAAAGGGAGCGUAGGUGGGCUGGUAAGUCAGUGGUGAAAUCCCCGAGCUUAACUUGGGAACUGCCAUUGAUACUACCAGUCUUGAAUACUGUGGAGGUUAGCGGAAUAUGUCAUGUAGCGGUGAAAUGCUUAGAUAUGACAUAGAACACCAAUUGCGAAGGCAGCUGGCUACACAAUUAUUGACACUGAGGCUCGAAAGCGUGGGGAUCAAACAGG